rnacentral:rRNA from 1 species
UAUAAAACUCCCAACCCUUUGUGAACCUUACCGUCGUUGCCUCGGUGGAAGGUGGUGUGCGGUGGGAAGCUACCCUGGAGCUACCUACCCUGUAGAUAGCUACCCUGGAGCUACCCUGAAAAUACGCCCCCCGCCAGCCGCCGAAGGACCACUAAACUCUUGUUUUUACUGUGUCUCUCUGAAUAAUGAAACAAAAAUUCGUUAAAACUUUCAACAACGGAUCUCUUGGUUCUGGCAUCGAUGAAGAACGCAGCGAAAUGCGAUAAGUAAUGUGAAUUGCAGAAUUCAGUGAAUCAUCGAAUCUUUGAACGCAUAUUGCGCCCAUUAGUAUUCUAGUGGGCAUGCCUAUUCGAGCGUCAUUUCAACCCUUAAGCACCUAUCUGCUUAGCGUUGGGAGUCUGCGCCUCGGCGCAGUUCCCUAAAGGUAGUGGCAGUGUUAGGUACACUCGUAGCGUAGUAAUUUUCUUCUCGCGUCUGUAGUGGUCCUGAACGUCUAGCCGUUAAACCCCCCUAUUUCUCAAGGUUGACCUCGGAUUAGGUAGGAAUACCCGCUGAACUUAAGCAUAUCAAUAAGCGGAGGAAAAGAAACCAACAGGGAUUGCCCUAGUAACGGCGAGUGAAGCGGCAACAGCUCAAAUUUGAAAUCUGGCCCUCGUGGUCCGAAUUGUAAUUUGUAGAGGAUGCUUUUGGUGUGGUGCCUUCUGAGUUCCCUGGAACGGGACGCCAGAGAGGGUGAGAGCCCCGUACGGUUGGACACCUAUCCUAUAUAUAGCUCCUUCGACGAGUCGAGUAGUUUGGGAAUGCUGCUCUAAAUGGGAGGUAAAUUUCUUCUAAAGCUAAAUACCGGCCAGAGACCGAUAGCGCACAAGUAGAGUGAUCGAAAGAUGAAAAGCACUUUGAAAAGAGGGUUAAAUAGCACGUGAAAUUGUUGAAAGGGAAGCGUUUGCGACCAGACCUUUUCCUGGCGGAUCAUCCGGUGUUCUCACCGGUGCACUUCGCUUGGUUUAGGCCAGCAUCGGUUUUCUUAGGGGGAUAAAGGCCUGGGGCACGUAGCUCUUCCGGGAGUGUUAUAGCCCCUAGCGUAAUGCCCUUACGGGGACCGAGGACCGC